rnacentral:tRNA from 1 species
GGAGGGUUGGCCGAGUGGUUAUGGCGGUGCAUUCAAGCUUUGAAUAUAAGUUUGGUUCAAGACGAAUCAGAGUCGCACUUCGAAAGAGCAAGGGUUCGAAUCCCUUACCCUUCA